AGGCUCUUAGCUCAGUUGGUAGAGCUCCCGCCUUACAAGCGGAUUGUCAUCGGUUCGAGUCCGGUAGGGCCUA
rnacentral:tRNA from 2 species